rnacentral:tRNA from 1 species
GCGAUUAUGAUGAAAUGGUAGACAUAUAACACUUAAGUUGUUAGGGCACUAGCCGUGGGGGUUCGAGUCCCUCUAAUCGUA